UGGGGAAUAUUGCACAAUGGGCGAAAGCCUGAUGCAGCAACGCCGCGUGAGUGAUGAAGGCCUUCGGGUUGUAAAGCUCUGUCUUUUGGGACGAUAAUGACGGUACCAAAGGAGGAAGCCACGGCUAACUACGUGCCAGCAGCCGCGGUAAUACGUAGGUGGCAAGCGUUGUCCGGAUUUACUGGGCGUAAAGGAUGCGUAGGCGGAUUUUUAAGUGAGAUGUGAAAACCCUAAGCUUAACUUGGGGACUGCAUUUCAAUACUGGAAAUCUAGAGUGCGGGAGAGGAGAAUGGAAUUCCUAGUGUAGCGGUGAAAUGCGUAGAGAUUAGGAAGAACACCAGUGGCGAAGGCGAUUCUCUGGACCGUAACUGACGCUGAGGCAUGAAAGCGUGGGUAGCAAACAGGAUUAGAUACCCUGGUAGUCCACGCCGUAAACGAUGAGUACUAGGUGUAGGAGGUAUCGACCCCUUCUGUGCCGCAGUUAACACAAUAAGUACUCCGCCUGGGAAGUACGAUCGCAAGAUUAAAACUCAAAGGAAUUGACGGAGUC
rnacentral:rRNA from 1 species